UAACUUUCAACAACGGAUCUCUUGGCUCUCGCAUCGAUGAAGGACGCAGCGAAAUGCGAUACGUAAUGUGAAUUGCAGAAUUCAGUGAAUCAUCGAAUCUUUGAACGCACCUUGCGCCCCUUGGUAUUCCGAAGGGCACACCCGUUUG
rnacentral:rRNA from 8 species